GUGCUCGCUUCGGCAGCACAUAUACUAAAAUUGGAACAAUACAGGGAAGAUUAGCAUGGCCCCUGCGCAAGGAUGGCCCGAAAAACAAAACAAAACAAAACAAAACA